UACACUGUAAGCAAUUGCUGUAAAUUAACAGCCAAUUUUCAACACUAAAAUACUGUUUUCAUGUUAAACAGUUUAGUACUGUAGUUAGCAAUGCAUUGUGGGCUGAUUAAAUUGGAGCAACAAGACAGAGGCCCUCAACAGUAAGUUGAUGUUUUAAAUUACAGGACAAUACAGUAUUUUCUCGAAAAUGCGUGUUGACUGGGGAAUUUGGAGCACGGUCAGAAGCUAAGCAAUGUUAGUCUUAUUGAAGCUAGCCUAUUACUUUUGGUCAAUUUUCUUUAAAAAAUACAGAUAUAAUUUGCCAUUAACUCCUGGAUGGAAUUUCGGGAACCAUUAUUUGGAUAGGAGAUUUUCCAGAAGAGGACGUACAAUUUAGAUGACGUGCUGCACAUCGUCAAGUGUUCUUCAUCAAAUUGAUCGGGUCUUGCAUCUACAAAUGAAACGGAUUAUAUGAACAUCGACUAACCGAGAUGGUUUUGGUGUCUGCCACUGCAGUUGAUGUUGAGACAACUCUCAGUCUUCCUGCAAGUCCUCGCCUGAUACCUGGUAAUAUACAUUUAAUUUAGAUUCAUUGAUAGAAGCAUUGUAUAUCUUAUCGGCCAUUCAUCUUGAGUUUACAAAUGUUUAAACAAAGUAACAAGUAUUUCCAUGUUGUUAAGUUUUAAGGGCAUCACACCAACAUUUGCAAUUGGACUUGCUGCUAUGUUUGCAACCUACUACAUUUUCAGCCUUCAGUAUCAAGAUGAGACAGCCUGCCCUGUGGAAUUCAAAAUUAAUGUGUUUGCGCUUCAUUGAUAUAAAUCCAGAGAGAGGGACAAAUGCCAAAAUCAUCAAGCAAGGUUGUCUCUAAAAAGAAAGGUGUG